GCUCAGAGCACCGGGUCCCUGUGUUAGCGUUUGUACCAUAAGGAAGAAGAAGAAGAGGAGGUAUUCAGGCCUGGGGCUAAGGGGAGUGGAGCCAGAGUCGUGCCAGAACUGGAGCUGGGUCAGCAACCUCUAUGGACUUAAUGGCAGAGGAUAAGAAACUGAAGAGGACGUUGGCAGAGGAAGCUAAGAAAAGUACUUCACCCAUGUGGAGGAGUUCAGUGGGAGGAGAGGACCAGAAGCACUUAGCAGAGGACUGGAGGUCAACACUAGGCCGGACUGUCAAUCUAGAAAUCUACUCCCGGUUUCCUCUGAAAAUCUAAUCUACAAUCUUCUGGAAGCUGCAAGAUUGUGUUGUGAGGGAGAUCCUGGCCCACUGUGGAAAGAUACAAAGACAUAACAUCACAUCACAUGAGAUCUCACUCCCCAGACGGAGGCUGAAGAGUCGGCAGGGACGACUGACCAGGUCACAGUGACUUUUCCACAAGAUCUUUUCUCAUAAGAUGACAGAGACACUACCUACCAUAAUGGAUUGCUCAAAAUUUUAUCACAUAAUGUUGCAGAAGAGUUGUCAAGAAGGACUGCCCAGGUCGUGGUGACUUUUCCACGUGCAAAUUUUGCCAAUUUUUGUUUUCAAGUGGCUGUCAAGUGUUGAAUCACUUACAAAUGUCACAUAUUUGGUAUCAAAUCAAAGAGGAACUUGUGUUUUUUUAAAAAUGAAAACAACCUGUGGAUGUCAGGUUGAUAAAGCUGUUUGAUUUUCACUCCAUGAUUAUCGUGGCCAAAAGAAUUUACAAUCCUACCAUUAUUGCGAUACAAAAAAAAUGC